rnacentral:rRNA from 1 species
UCCGUAAGUGGAUCAAUCAGUCAGAGGUGAAAUCCUGCAGCUUAACUGUAGAACUGCCUUUGAUACUGUUGAUCUUGGGUCAUUAUGAAGUGGUUAGAAUGUGUAGUGUAGCGGUGAAAUGCAUAGAUAUUACACAGAAUACCGAUUGCGAAGGCAGAUCACUAAUGAUGUACUGACACUGAGGGACGAAAGCGUGGGGAGCGAACAGGAUUAGAUACCCUGGUAGUCC